rnacentral:tmRNA from 1 species
GGGGAUGCUCUGGUUUCGACAGGGAGUGAACAUCGUAGACUGCAGGUCGUGUCGCCCAGUCACGUAAAAGGGGCAAGGCAACAACUGCCAACACCAACACUCGGGUUCAGCCUCGGCUGGCCCUCGCCGCUUAAGAUAUAGCGGCGCGCUCGCUACAGCUCCCCCGAUGGUUGUAGGUCGAGCGUCAUCAGUCGGGUGCUCCGGUAGCGCAAGCCUGGACGCUAUCGGCUAAGACAUCAGGCUGGCCCAACGGUCGCUCUGCCACUCGUGCGACUGCGGGCGAGAUCAAGCGAGGGGCUAAACCUGUAGAUGUCUGCGGUCUAGCUCUCUGGACGGGGGUUCGACUCCCCCCAUCUCCACCA